rnacentral:misc_RNA from 1 species
UAGCCAGUUCGUUAUUUGCACAGAAGUCGAACGCAUACCAGCACGAGCGAGAGAGCCUAUAAAAAUUGUAAUCCUCCAAUAUACAUCUACAUUAGCGGAUCGUUGCAGCCCACAAUCGAACGUCGUUGAACAACGGUUGGCCACUUGAGCCCGCGUUUUGUCGCAUAGGCAGCAGUUAUACAACCGCGCGAUCUCGAACGCGCGAGUAGACGCGUGAAGUUCGUUGUUUCGUCGGCUCGUUUAAUAAUCGGUGCUGUUGCUGCUGCUGCCGCUACCGGCGCAACAUAACAGCGGUCCUUUCGCAUUAUACAUACAUCAUACAUGGUGGUGAUACCGAAGAAAAGCGACGAGCGUCGUAGCGAUAAAAAAAAGGCGCGAUUUCGUGCGCUUCCCCACCCCACCCCCGAGAGGAUCCUUGCCGCGCGACAAGUUCACACUCGCGAACGACAGAAGUCAUCAUUAACGAGAUACGCAUUGUAAUUUGUAUCAUCGCAGCGGCUACACGGGCCCAGGCACGCAUCUCGCCCCAAGGCGUCGCAGAUCUCUUUUCGUAAAGUUUAUUGCAUGUUGUAUAGAACGCGAUUAACUGCGGGCAGUAAUUUAUCGUUCGUUCGUUCAAAACAAAAAAAAACAGUGUUCCAAUCGAACUGUGUAAACGUUAAUAUUCGUGGCUCUGUGUUUAUGGGAACGUUUAGUUGAUAGCGAAAAUUACAUCUGCGACGCGUGACAUUGAAUAGUGCCGUGCAAAGUCUUCGAACGCUGCUGCGCUCUGGCCUGGUAAAUAGACGUUCUCAACGGCUUUUUCGAGAGCAACUUCUUACGAAUCGUUAGCUUUUGUUUUCGUUUCUAGUCAGUAUGUCGAAGACUAUUUUCGAAGAUGACAUACUCGCAGCGUUACAAAAGUAUUUCAAUUACAAGAGCUUGCGACCGGGACAGCAGCCCAUCAUUCAGAACAUACUCAGAAGCAAAGACAUUGUGGUGUCGAUGGAAAGUGGAUUUGGAAAGUCUGUGUGUUACCAGUUGGCAGGGCUACUACGAGACGGUGUCGCGAUCGUUGUAUCGCAUUCGCCUGCGCGAAUGGAAGAAAAGUCCACGGAAUUAGCUUCUUUUAAAACCGUGAAGACGGUGUGUUUGAUUAAUGAUGCUGAAGAUAAAGAUGCUGGUGAUUUGAGAAAUGAUCUAAUUAAAAAACGUGAUAUUAUACAGAAGUUAAAGGGUACAAAAGCUGCAGGUGCAGCAAGAGUCAAGUUCUUGUUCACUACGUUCGAUUGUUUAGGAUCAACAUCACUGAAAGAAACCUUGAUUGACUUGCAUAAAAAUAAAUUAUUGCAGAUUUUUGUUGUCGAUGCAGCCUAUUCUAAGUACCCGUGUUUAUCAGAAAAGAAAAAUUCCGACUUCGAUAGCAUUAAAAAUAUCUAUCAUAACAUACCCAUUGUAUGUUUAACAAGUCCUAUAAGCACUCGAAAUUUAAGUAAAAUUGAAAAACUGUUGCAUCUUAAAAAUACUUAUAUUGUCAAUGAGCCGUCAGUACAAAAUAAUUUAACGUUUAAAGUAAUGUAUAGAAACGAAUAUCCACUAGAAAUUACGAAAUUGAUUACUUUUUUAAGAAAAGACUAUUCAAAAAAACGCGGCAUUAUCUACUGCGACGAUGAAAAUGAAUUUAAAGUUUUGAAAAAAGGAUGUAUUAUAAAUCUUCGUCAAUGGACUCUCGCUGAUAUUGGGGAAAUAACUUUGUGUACAUCGGAUGAUGAACCAAUUAUGAAAGAUAUUGAUUUCAUUGUACAUAUCAUAAUGCCGGCCAGUUUAGAUCUGUACAUGCAUCAAGUUUUUAAAGCAAGUCGUUCCAGCUCAAAGUGCGAUUGCAUUUUAUUUUAUCACGUAGAUGAUUUUGAUCGUGUUCUUGAAAAAAGUAAAAAGAAAAUCCAACAAGCGACUGCAGAACAUAAAGAUGAUUUUGCUAAAUCACUGAUAAAAGCAAUGCACAAACUAUUUGAUAUAAUAGUAUACGCAGAAAAUAUCUCUAUUUGCCGACAAAUUUUUUUGUUGCAAUAUUUAAACUAUAAAAAUUAUGUACUACCUUGCGGUCAGUGCGAUUCAUGUGAGAUAUUAAAACCAGGAUUUGUUAUCGAAAUAUCUGACAUUUUGAGGAAAAUAUUAAUGGCUAUUUGGACGAUCAAUCGUCAGCAGAGAAAACGUAAUACCAAAAAAAGCUCAUUCAAUGCUAACUUGAAUUCAGUAAUAAGUUUACUUCUUGGUAACGUGGAAAAAUCUUACGAAAAUACAUGGGUUACCAAAGAAUGGUUCUUCGGAUCUUUUGGAUCAUGGGACAAGAGUAUUUUAAGUUUGUUCAUUUUUACGUUACUCGCUAAAAAGUAUCUGCAGAUGAAUCAUUUCUACGAUGAACAGUUUGAAUUUUCUCAAAACUUGAUUAUCACUACCGAAGGACAAGACUUCGUAAAGUCGAAUAGUCAACAUAAUCUCAAUAUUUCAAUGAAAAAUAGUAGUUUUGUAAAAUGGACAGAUCCAACUUCCAUUGAAGUUCAACUCUACGCAGAUUUAUUGAGUGCAGCCGAAUCUUAUUUUAAACACACUGAAAAUUUACAAGUUGUCGAGUGGUACACGUAUUUUAUUGAACAACUUUAUUUACGCAUUCCUUCAACUUGGGAUGAAUACAAGCUGGUGAGGUGUAAUGCUCGCGUGAAGUAUGAAAAAACUGUACUAGACGAAGAGCUAUACUCCAUCUGCUUACAGUAUCAUCAAAUUUUGAGAAAUUGGAACCAUGGCUGUGAAACACGAAAGCAAACCGAAAGAUCGCCAAUUCUUCCAUUUCGCAUUAAAAGACUUUGAAGAUGACGACGAAGUCUACACUAGAUUAUUUAAUAAUCGACUUCAAAAUAUAACAAUGCCAUCUUCGGUCGUAUCUUGCUUCGGUACACCAAUAGCAAAUUCAUACAUUCCAAUAAACGAUGUCCGCAGUGUAGCUUCAAAAUUAUUGAACUGUGAGGUAAAAUUGUCCCGAGUGAUGGCUGAAUCAGUCAAAACUAAUAAUGUGUCUCAAACUCAUGAUCUACAUAACGAAACAUUGGAACUUAUGGAGAACUUAUCAAAGUUGAAACAAGAAUUAGAUUCCAAUGUUGCAACUAUUGCUGAGACAGAAAAAAUUAACAAUGAUACCAGUAACGACAAUCUUCAAAGCAUAUUAAAGAUUAAACAUAAUUCUAAUUCUAAAAUUGAAAUGACGGCUUCCAGUGGAAUUAUGAAAAAGCGCAAGAGUCCGUUCUUCAAUUUAUUGUCGAAGUGUAAAAAACCACUUAUGGUUGACUCAACUUCAUAAGCUACUGUCGAAUCAACGACAUUAUUUGCAUUUGAUUGUAUUUGCAAAGACACUGAUUUAAUCGUACUAGUGAUUUUACUUUGUUUUCUAACAAACUUACGAGAAAGACUUAUAUAAAUAUUAUGUUUAAAUAAAUUUCGAUACACUCAAAGUGUAACUUUUAUAUUGUUUUGAAUAAAAAAGCAAUCGAAUUUCCACGA